rnacentral:lncRNA from 1 species
UUAGAGUUAAUAUCCAAACAAGUGUAUUCCUAACUGCGUACUUAAAAUAUAUAAUAUAUAACCUGCAAGUCAAUUGAGUGGAGUUCACUAGUAAUCAUCUACUCGAAGAAAUUCCAUGGUCUAAGAAAAAAUACUCAUUGAGAUUGAAUACGUGGCUUUUCAAUUGAUUAUGGAUCAUAUAACACGCACAAUUGAUGGAAAGAGGCCUUCAAUUCUACAACUCCUCUGUAUAAAUUAUGCAAUUAUCAUUGGUAUUGAACGAUUUCAUCAUUAAUAAGUGGAUUAGGUUGUAGAAUGUAUUUUUUAUUCUUCAUUUGAGUUACUCAAGUUUUAUUUUUUAAAAGGGAAAUUGUGAACCUAGAAUUUAAAAAUAUUGAGAG